rnacentral:rRNA from 1 species
CAGCAGCCGCGGUAAUACGAAGGGGGCUAGCGUUGUUCGGAAUUACUGGGCGUAAAGCGCACGUAGGCGGACAUUUAAGUCAGGGGUGAAAUCCCGGGGCUCAACCCCGGAACUGCCUUUGAUACUGGGGAUCUUGAGUCCGGGAGAGGUGAGUGGAACUGCGAGUGUAGAGGUGAAAUUCGUAGAUAUUCGCAAGAACACCAGUGGCGAAGGCGGCUCACUGGCCCGGUACUGACGCUGAGGUGCGAAAGCGUGGGGAGCAAACAGGAUUAGAUACCCGGGUAGUCCCUGUCUCUUAUAC